rnacentral:rRNA from 1 species
GACGGAGGAUGCAAGCGUUAUCCGGAAUCAUUGGGCGUAAAGCGCGUGUAGGCGGCUGAGUAAGUCUGCUCUGAAAGCCCGGGGCUCAACCCCGGGAGGCGGGUGGAUACUGCUCAGCUCGAGUCCGGAAGAGGAGUGUGGAAUUCCUGGUGUAGCGGUGAAAUGCGCAGAUAUCAGGAGGAACACCAAUGGCGAAGGCAGCACUCUGGGACGGUACUGACGCUGAGACGCGAAAGCGUGGGGAGCAAACAGG